rnacentral:rRNA from 1 species
AUGGUGACACACAAAGUAGAUGACUAUCCAGUUAGAAAGAAGCCUAGGAAUUGUGCUAAGUAUGUGGGCAGUGCAGCUUCAAGUUUAGGUUUCUUCAAAAUUGAUGUCCCAGAUGUCAAUGAGCAACAUGUAGGAAACAAGAAAAAUGUGGGGAUUGUUUACAUAGAAGCUGGGCAGGUCACUAAGGAAGAACUAGCCCAUAACUUCUCUGUCAUAUACAAAACCAAUUGGCCAUGGCACAUCAGGAUACUAGACAGCUGGACUUUUCUAGUCAAAUUCCCCCCUCAUACCCCUGUAGCAACAGUUGCUGGCUACCCCAACUUUGGACUGCCUGAGAUUGAUGGAGUUUCAGUCAAUGUUGAGGUGUGGAAAGGAGAGAUGGAAUUUCAUGCAGAACUCCAGUCUGUUUGGCUUCAGUUAAGAGGAGUGGCUCCAGCCUGGGCAGAAUGGUCAGUUUUAGAGCAAAUUGCCUCUGUUUUGGGCUCUUUGAUUGAUGUGGACUGGCAGGGAAACUUCAAAUCUUUCUUUGAGGUGGUUAGAAUCAAAAUCAUAUGCAAAGACUUUACCAAAAUUCCUACUGAAAGAAUCUUUGGAAUAGAAGACAAGCUGUAUAAGAUCAAGAUUGUUGUGGAACCACCAGUGGAUGACCUCGAUCAGGAUGAUCUUCUGGAUGAAGACACUGAGAAGAGUAAAGAAAAAGAAUCAUUGAACAAUGCCAACAGUGAUGAUGGGGCUGGAGGCUCUCAUCACACUGCAAAAAAUUCCUCAUCUCAGUCUGGGGGAAAUAGUUCUACCUCUGGAACUCCUCACCAAACUAAGCAAAAUGUGCUAGCCUACUUACAGCAACUCCAGGACCCCAUUUCCUUAGAUGAAAGCUUCAAAAUGCUGCAAGAGAUUGAGAUUGGAGAUGAUGAGGAGGAGGAUAACAUCAACUUGCUAGAGGACCAGGCUGAGGUGGUAGUGGAGAAUGAAUCCCUGAAGGAAGUGGUUUUCAGUCCAGGUCUUACCACAAACACAACUCAUGCCCCACCCAUCCUUCAAAAAUGGGGGCCAGUCCAGGCACAGAAAAAGAGCUCCAGAAUUGACAUUGGUGAGAGAACAAUCAUGGAGAUUGCCAUGGGGUCAAAGAAGGUCCAGAACCUAGAAGAGCCUAAAGGUAAACACAAAGAACUGGUGGCUGAUCUGGAGGACCCUCAAGAGGUGGAUGAUUCUGUACACCAAGGACUCGCUCGAGAAAAUGCAGGAGAUACUACAUUGGAUAUCCUGCAUACUCAAAAGCCCGCUCCAAUUGACUUUGGGGUGAAAAGGAACUUGAUGGGCGCUGGAGGUGCCACCCAUGCCUCUUUCUACUCCAAGCUUGAUUUUGGGGCUUGUAAAGAUGGGUUCCAGAGUCCAGACUCUUCAAAGCCGAGUGAUCCACCAUCAAAAAUGGCGGUUCAGGCGAUUUCGAGCCCUGCAUCACCUCUCGACUGGUCUGGCACACCAACUCAACCCCUCAAGAAGAUGAAAGGGGGGCUCGUGGAGCAUAUCAAGGAGGUCCGCAAGAUGCUCGUUGCAGAAGACAUGAGGAUUCUAGCUGAUGCAGGAGGAAUGCGGAUCACUUUGCUGUAG